GAAAGCCGUAUUCGAUGAAAGUUGUAUGUACGGCUUGGAGGGAUAUCUUUCCUAUCUUUCGAGAUCCACCCUAC
rfam:Oryza sativa Japonica Group DNA, chromosome 4, cultivar: Nipponbare, complete sequence.